UACGAAGGGGGCUAGCGUUGCUCGGAUUGACUGGGCGUAAAGGGCGCGUAGGCGGUUCGUACAGUCAGACGUGAAAUUCCUGGGCUCAACCUGGGGGCUGCGUUUGAUACGUGCGGACUUGAGUGCGGAAGAGGGUCGUGGAAUUCCCAGUGUAGAGGUGAAAUUCGUAGAUAUUGGGAAGAACACCGGUGGCGAAGGCGGCGACCUGGUCCGAUACUGACGCUGAGGCGUGAAAGCGUGGGGAGCAAACAGG
rnacentral:rRNA from 1 species